AUUGAACGCUGGCGGCAGGCCUAACACAUGCAAGUCGAGCGGAUGAAGGGAGCUUGCUCCUGGAUUCAGCGGCGGACGGGUGAGUAAUGCCUAGGAAUCUGCCUGGUAGUGGGGGAUAACGUCCGGAAACGGGCGCUAAUACCGCAUCCGUCCUGAGGGAGAAAGUGGGGGAUCUUCGGACCUCACGCUAUCAGAUGAGCCUAGGUCGGAUUAGCUAGUUGGUGGGGUAAAGGCCUACCAAGGCGACGAUCCGUAACUGGUCUGAGAGGAGGAUCAGUCACACUGGAACUGAGACACGGUCCAGACUCCUACGGGAGGCAGCAGUGGGGAAUAUUGGACAAUGGGCGAAAUCCUGAUCCAGCCAUGCCGCGUGUGUGAAGAAGGUCUUCGGAUUGUAAAGCACUUUAAGUUGGGAGGAAGGGCAGUAAGUUAAUACCUUGCUGUUUUGACGUUACCAACAGAAUAAGCACCGGCUAACUUCGUG
rnacentral:rRNA from 1 species